AACGAACGCUGGCGGCAGGCUUAAUACAUGUAAGUCGAACGCCCCUUUCGGGGGGAGUGGCAGACGGGUGAGUAACGCGUGGGAACGUGCCCAAAGGUAGGGAACAACUCCGGGAAACUGGAGCUAAUACCCUAUGUGCCCGAGAGGGGAAAGAUUUAUCGCCUUUGGAUCGGCCCGCGUUGGAUUAGCUAGUUGGUGGGGUAAAAGCCUACCAAGGCGACGAUCCAUAGCUGUUCUGAGAGGAAGAUCAGCCACACUGGGACUGAGACACGGCCCAGACUCCUACGGGAGGCAGCAGUAGGGAAUCUUGGACAAUGGGCGCAAGCCUGACCCAGCCAUGCCGCGUGAGUGAUGAAGGCCUUAGGGUUGUAAAACUCUUUCGCAGGUGACGAUAAUGACGGUAACCUGAGAAGAAGCCCCGGCUAACUUCGUGCCAGCAGCCGCGGUAA
rnacentral:rRNA from 1 species